rnacentral:rRNA from 1 species
UAAGGAAUAUUGGUCAAUGGACGGAAGUCUGAACCAGCCAUCCCGCGUGCAGGAUGACUGCCCUAUGGGUUGUAAACUGCUUUUAGCAGAGACGAAACGCCUUCAUUUAUGAGGGUCUGACGGUAUCUGCAGAAUAAGCACCGGCUAACUCCGUGCCAGCAGCCGCGGUAAUACGGAGGGUGCAAGCGUUAUCCGGAAUCACUGGGUUUAAAGGGUGCGUAGGCGGAUAUUUAAGUCAGUGGUGAAAUCUUGUCGCUUAACGAUAAAAUUGCCAUUGAUACUGAAUGUCUUGAAUUGGGUUGAGGUUAGCGGAAUGUGACAUGUAGCGGUGAAAUGCAUAGAUAUGUCAUGGAACACCAAUUGCGAAGGCAGCUAGCUGGGCCUUGAUUGACGCUGAGGCACGAAAGCGUGGGUAGCGAACA